UUCCAUUGUAUUUGUGUGUGGAUUUUUGAGACUGUCCUGACGGUAUUUGACACACAAAUGUGCUCAGCCAAUCACAUCAGCCGGCGUUCGAGCGUAAGGUUGAAGACAUUGCGCUUCUAUUACGCAGAGCAGGCUACUAGUGCGAAGCCACCAUAGAUCUGUAUAAAUAACUGGAAGUAGAGCCAUUACUGAAGUGCUCCCUGACGUAAACUCGGAAGCGUAUGAAGUUACUGACUUUCACAUCAUCUUUGUACAAAUAUGUCUGGAUCUGGACUAACGUGUGCCGUAAUCGGAUGUAACAAUAACAGCAGAAAGCUAAAAAUGUGGAAAAAGAGCGUAUGUGCGCUUCAUAGUCCACAGUUUAAAGAGGAUUGUCCAUGUUGUGUGCCCUACGGUGUACACCGCUUCCCCGGCCGUGCUGAGGAUGAAGACAUUCGCAAGAUGUGGAUUAAAAACGUACACCGAAAGGACUUUGCCCCCAAACAAGUAUUCAAGGGUGUGUGGAGUACACUUCCCUGACGGCAGACCAACGCAGGAACACCCAUAUCCCAUAAUAUGGGAUAUGAAUAUAGUAAAGCACCGUCAUGUGGAAGACCACCCCAAAGAGGAGAUGUCUCCAGCCCCCAACAGAGAGACCAUGUGAUGAGCCUCCUGUGACAGAUUCUGACACCGAAGUAGGGCAUAGCUAGCCUCGCGAGCCAUCCUACGUACUUCCGCCAAAGGAUUGGCUCCACUACUGUAGUCUGGCCGUGCUUCUCUGUGGAGUGCUUGCAGCAGUAGAAUUUUGAUUGCAACGCCCCCCCAGAAAACAGCCAAUAAUCGAAUACGCCCCCCACGUGGGGACGAAAGGGGGAGAACGCUCGUGACAAUGACGUACACAUCUGCGCCAGAGCCAUUGGUCUGCGCUAUGUUGUUGUUGAGUAACUGCCAGCGAUUGGGUGAGAGGUGUCCAAUAAUUUCAAACUAUAACUGAGUGCAAACUUCCUGCUUUCUACAAUCGCUUCAGAGCAAACAAAUGCCAGACCAUAAAUACGAAAUGAAAUGGUAGUAUUAUGGGAUGGUCAGGACCAGGCUAGGGCAUAGCUUGGAGGAUAGUCUGUCUCCACACCAAUGUGAUGUUGGCACUCAGUGGCCAGAGCGUAGUGAUCAUGAUUGUUGUUCGAUGAAGUCAACAAAAGAUGCAAGCACACAAACCGAUCCUACACCAUCACUGUCAGAUCAUGACAUGGAUGAUAAAGUGUCAAAACUUUACACUGGACUAGACAUCAUCAGCUUUUGGCAACUUUUGAACACCAUCAUUGGCUUUCUUCCACAGUCGAAGACGUUCAAAUUACCAGUCCAUGAACAGCUAAGUGCUGGUCCUAAUGAGGCUUCGGCUUGGCUACAGCCUGUGAUAUGUCCGCAAUGUGGAGAGCAACACUUGCCAAUUUCACAAGGGAAAAUCUUAUUUUUUGGCUCCCUCGAGACACUCUGAAUAGAGUAAGACCCUCAAGUUUUCUUGAACACUAUCCCAAUGCAACAUGCAUCAUAGAUUGCACUGAAAUAUUUGUCCAAAGACCGAAGAACUUGGGGAAAAGAGCAAAAACAUACAGCAACUAUAAGCAUCACAACACCUACAAAGUCCUCU